rnacentral:rRNA from 1 species
CAGGUACAGAGGGCAGCUACCCAGCAAUGGGAUGCGAAUCUCGAAAGCCUGUCUCAGUUCGGAUUGGAGGCUGAAACCCGCCUCCAUGAAGUUGGAUUCGCUAGUAAUCGCGCAUCAGCCAUGGCGCGGUGAAUACGUUCCCGGGCCUUGUACACACCGCCCGUCAAGCCAUGGGAGCCGGGGGUGCCUGAAGUUCGUGACCGCAAGGAGCGACCUAGGGCAAAACUGGUGACUGGGGCUAAGUCGUAACAAGGUAAC